rnacentral:rRNA from 1 species
GAUGAACGCUAGCGGCAGGCCUAACACAUGCAAGUCGAGGGAGGAGCUUUCGGGCUUCGACCGGCGUACGGGUGCGUAACGCGUAUACAAUCUGCCUUUCACAUAGGGAUAGCCCGAAGAAAUUUGGAUUAAUACCUAAUGGUAUAUAGGAGUGGCAUCACCUUUAUAUUAAAGCUGAGGCGGUGAAAGAUGAGUAUGCGUUCUAUUAGCUAGUUGGAGAGGUAACGGCUCCCCAAGGCGACGAUAGAUAGGGGUUCUGAGAGGGAUAUCCCCCACACUGGUACUGAGAUACGGACCAGACUCCUACGGGAGGCAGCAGUGAUGGAAUAUUGGACAAUUGGUCGGAAUGACGGAGUCCAGGCCAGU